CUACAGGCUUACCACAUGCAAGUCGAGGGGCAGCAUGGUCUUAGCUUGCUAAGGCCGAUGGCGACCGGCGCACGGGUGAGUAACACGUAUCCAACCUGCCGUCUACUCUUGGACAGCCUUCUGAAAGGAAGAUUAAUACAAGAUGGCAUCAUGAGUCCGCAUGUUCACAUGAUUAAAGGUAUUCCGGUAGACGAUGGGGAUGCGUUCCAUUAGAUAGUAGGCGGGGUAACGGCCCACCUAGUCUUCGAUGGAUAGGGGUUCUGAGAGGAAGGUCCCCCACAUUGGAACUGAGACACGGUCCAAACUCCUACGGGAGGCAGCAGUGAGGAAUAUUGGUCAAUGGGCGAGAGCCUGAACCAGCCAAGUAGCGUGAAGGAUGACUGCCCUAUGGGUUGUAAACUUCUUUUAUAAAGGAAUAAAGUCGGGUAUGGAUACCCGUUUGCAUGUACUUUAUGAAUAAAGAUCGGCUAACUCCGUGCCAGCAGCCGCGGUAAUACGGAGGAUCCGAGCGUUAUCCGGAUUUAUUGGGUUUAAAGGGAGCGUAGAUGGAUGUUUAAGUCAGUUGUGAAAGUUUGCGGCUCAACCGUAAAAUUGCAGUUGAUACUGGAUAUCUUGAGUGCAGUUGAGGCAGGCGGAAUUCGUGGUGUAGCGGUGAAAUGCUUAGAUAUCACGAAGAACUCCGAUUGCGAAGGCAGCCUGCUAAGCUGCAACUGACAUUGAGGCUCGAAAGUGUGGGUAUCAAACAGGAUUAGAUACCCUGGUAGUCCACACGGUAAACGAUGAAUACUCGCUGUUUGCGAUAUACUGCAAGCGGCCAAGCGAAAGCGUUAAGUAUUCCACCUGGGGAGUACGCCGGCAACGGUGAAACUCAAAGGAAUUGACGGGGGCCCGCACAAGCGGAGGAACAUGUGGUUUAAUUCGAUGAUACGCGAGGAACUUACCCGGGCUUAAAUUGCAGAUGAAUUACGGUGAAAGCCGUAAGCCGCAAGGCAUCUGUGAAGGUGCUGCAUGGUUGUCGUCAGCUCGUGCCGUGAGGUGUCGGCUUAAGUGCCAUAACGAGCGCAACCCUUGUUGUCAGUUACUAACAGGUCCCGCUGAGGACUCUGACAAGACUGCCAUCGUAAGAUGUGAGGAAGGUGGGGAUGACGUCAAAUCAGCACGGCCCUUACGUCCGGGGCUACACACGUGUUACAAUGGGGGGUACAGAGGGCCGCUACCACGCGAGUGGAUGCCAAUCCCCAAAACCUCUCUCAGUUCGGACUGGAGUCUGCAACCCGACUCCACGAAGCUGGAUUCGCUAGUAAUCGCGCAUCAGCCACGGCGCGGUGAAUACGUUCCCGGGCCUUGUACACACCGCCCGUCAAGCCAUGGGAGCCGGGGGUACCUGAAGUGCGUAA
rnacentral:rRNA from 2 species